GCUGGGCGCGGUGGUGAAUGCCUAUAAUCCCAGGAGCUUGGGAGGCUGAGGCAGGUGGAUCACGAGUUCAUAGCUAGCCUCAGCAAAAAUGAGGCACUAAGCAACUCAAUGAGACCCUGUCUCUA
rnacentral:sRNA from 1 species